rnacentral:rRNA from 1 species
UUAAAUUGAAGAGUUUGAUCAUGGCUCAGAUUGAACGCUGGCGGCAGGCCUAACACAUGCAAGUCGAACGGUAACAGGUAGCAGCUUGCUGCUUUGCUGACGAGUGGCGGACGGGUGAGUAAUGUCUGGGAAACUGCCUGAUGGAGGGGGAUAACUACUGGAAACGGUAGCUACUACCGCAUAACGUC